GAACGCACAUUGCGCCCUCUGGUAUUCCGGAGGGCAUGCCUGUUCGAGCGUCAUAAUGACCAACUCACCCCCGUGGUGGACUUGGAGCUGGCCGGUCUGGCCUCUCUUAAAACCAGUGGCGGUGCUCUUAAGCUCUACGCGUAGUAAUUUCUCUCGCGACAGGGUCUUGAUGGUGCUUGCCAACAACCCCAACUCUUAUAAGGUUGACCUCGGAUCAGGUAGGGAUACCCGCUGAACUUAAG
rnacentral:misc_RNA from 1 species